GAUGAACGCUGGCGGCGUGCCUAACACAUGCAAGUCGAACGGAGAUUAUUGACGGAAGUUUUCGGAUGGAGGACGGUAAUCUUAGUGGCGGACGGGUGAGUAACGCGUGGGUAACCUGCCCCGUACAGGGGGAUAGCGUCGGGAAACUGACGGUAAGACCGCAUAGGACCACAUAUUCGCAUGGAUAAGUGGUGAAAAGGGAAACCUGGUAUGGGAUGGACCCGCGUCCGAUUAGCCAGUUGGCAGGGUAAAGGCCUACCAAAGCUUCGAUCGGUAGCCGGACUGAGAGGUCGGACGGCCACAUUGGGACUGAGACACGGCCCAGACUCCUACGGGAGGCAGCAGUGGGGGAUAUUGCACAAUGGAGGAAACUCUGAUGCAGCGACGCCGCGUGAGUGAAGAAGUGCUCCGGCAUGUAAAGCUCUUUCAGCAGGGAAGAUGAUGACGGUACCUGAAUAAGAAGCCCCGGCUAACUACGUGCCAGCAGCCGCGGUAAUACGUAGGGGGCAAGCGUUAUCCGGAUUUACUGGGUGUAAAGGGAGCGCAGGCGGUCUGGCAAGUUGAGAGUGGAAGCAGGGGGCUCAACCCCCUGACUGCUCCCAAAACUGUUGGACUGGAGUAUGGGAGAGGCAGGCGGAAUUCCUAGUGUAGCGGUGAAAUGCUCAGAUAUUAGGAAGAACACCGGUGGCGAAGGCGGCCUGCUGGACCAAAACUGACGCUGAGGCUCGAGAGCGUGGGGAGCGAACAGG
rnacentral:rRNA from 1 species